rnacentral:lncRNA from 10 species
UGGCCCCCAUAAUAUGUCAUCUAUAAUAACUAACUUCAGUCUUCCAUUCAUUCAUUCAUAUACACAAAAACCCACUUACUGCACAUCUAUUCUGGACCAGGUAACCUACUUUUUUUUUUUUUUUUUUUUUUUGAGACAGUCUUGCUCUGUCACCCAGGCUGGACUGCAGUGGUGUGAUCAUAGCUCACUGCAGCCUCGACCUCCUGGGCUCAAGUGAUCCUUCUAUCUCAGCCUCCCAAGUAGCUGAGACUAUAGAUGCACCCAACAUGCCUAGCUAAUUUUUGUAUUUUUAGUAGAGACGAGGUUUCACCAUGUUGCCUGGGCUGGUCUCGAACUCCUGGGCUCAAGCAAUCCACCAGCCUUGGCCUUCCAAAGUGCUGGGAUUACAGGCAUAAGCCACUGUGCCUGGGCAAGGCCAGGUAACUUUCUACAUGCCCUCGGAAUAAAGUAGUAAACAAAAGACAUAAAAAUUCAGAUUAUGAAAAUAUGGGGUCACUUUUUAAAUGUUCCAGGCAACUACAUUAAUGGAUGGAGAGUCAUAAUGAAAAAGAACAGGAAUGGGAUACGGCUCCUUCUUCAUGUUUAACCAGACCUUCUACUUAAAGAAUCCCAGGAACUAGCCUUAGGAAAUCUAAAUAUCAAACCAAGGUGGUGGAGUGUCUCAUCCCAGGAAGGAACACUGAACAACUGAUUUACAGCAGGGGUGUCCAAUCUUUUGGCUUCCCUGGACCACACUGAAGAACUGUCUUGGGCCACACAAAAUACACUAACAAUAGCUGAUGAGCUUUAAAAAAAAUAAGUCACAAAAGAAUCUCAUGUUUUAAGAAAUGUUACGAAUUUGUGUUGGGCCACAUUCAAAGCAGUCCUGGGCUGCAUGUCGCCCCGCCCGCAGGCCUGGGGUUGAACAAGCUUGAUUACAGCCUUGUUGCCUCUGGCCAGCCCACCAGGUGGUCCAUUAACCAAGAUAACCAUCAGCCACUAGAUAUGCUGACCCGCAUUCCCUACCCCUCACAUGCUUUGCCCAGCUCAGCCUACAUGCCCUCUCCCGAUGUCAGUUACCAGGCUUUGCUAAUAAAACGUCUCUCCCGGCUCUUCCAGAGAGCCAGCCGCAGAGUCUCUGCCGUCUCCCCGUGCGCUCAAGCACAAGCCCCCAACUAAAAGCCUUGUCUGGAAAAUCUGCUUGGUGCCAUAACAGAUUAUCUGGUGAGCCAGGUAGGAGCACAAGGAGUAAUUUCCCUCCCUGCAGGGGAGGCUUGUGAGCCUGCGAGCCGGAGGGAGGCCCCACUGAUUCAGCGCUGCCACCGCGACUGGCGAGUUUUCCUCUAGUCUCGCGACUGGACACUGGUCAGUAGAACCUGGACCUGCUGUAAGGCUGAAGAAGAAAAAGAAACCAUCCAAGCUGGCACUCGGUUUUGGGGAGUUCUCUUCACUGCUCACGCCGGCCCUCUUGUGUGACCUGUACUGUUGUGCUGUGUGGGGCUGGGAGCCAACUCUCUUUUCGUCGCCUGACACCUGUGCUUGCACCCUGCCCCUGGUCCUUUAAUAAGACAAGCAGACACAGGGGCUACAGUCAUGGGCAAUGCCCCAGGCAUCUUCCAAGACUCACACCUGGGAUGUAUCAUUUCUAAAUGGAAGGAAUCCAAAUCAGAUGGUUUAAAGAAAAAGAAACUCCAGCCUGGGAAACAUAGGAAGACUCCACCUCUACAAAAAACAGGAAAAAUGAGCCGGGUGUGGGGGUGCCUUCCUGGGGUCUCAGCUACUCAGAAGGCUAAAGUGAGGAUCGCUUAAGUCCAGGAGGUUGAGGCUGCAGUGAGUUGUGGUAAUACCAUAGCACUCCAACCUGGGCAAUGGAGUGAGACCCUGCCUCAAAAUCAAAUUUUUUUUUUAAUUAAAAAAAAAGAAACUGAUUUUCCUCUGUAAUACAACCUGCCCUAGUACACAUUAGAUCAAGAAAAAUGGCCAUGGGCAGAAGUGGAUCUCCUAGUUUUAACACUAUCUUACCGCCCGACCUAUUCUGUGAAUGGACAGAGAAAUGGGGAGAGAUACCUAGCUACAAGCUUUUAUGAAGUUAUGCUAGGACCCAGAGCUACUGGAUUCUUGUCAGGUGUGUGUGGCCCCUAUUUCCAGGUUCCUCCUGAAGGAACCUGAAGAAGCGGACCUCCACAGCCUCAGGCCCCGAGCACUCCCUCCCUACCCUAAGCAGGCCUCCUGGGGAGGGGAGCCCCUGUGCUGUCCCCAACAGCGCUCCAAUCGGACUCCAAACAGGCACCCUCUUUUGCUUCCCCACUGGCCCAGGGCUGUUUUCCCCUCAGAGAAAUGGAUGGAAACGGGGGAGUGACAAGGAUCCAAGUUCCUUUUUUUGGUGGUGGAUCUAGGACUAUGUAAAAAACACUUUGGUAGAUUUUCAGAGGAUCCUGGUAAGUUUAGAGAUGAAUUUGUUAAACUAAAUCUUGCCUUUUCAUUGACGUGGCAGGAUGUUAUGGUCACUUUGCAGUACUGAUGAAAAGCAACACAUAUUUGGAAAGGCUAAGGAAUAUGCCAAUAGCCAGGUGGUCACUAAAGACCAAUAUGCAGUCAUCUGUUUAGGGGGAGAUGCGGUCCCAGGCAUAGUCUCCACGUGAGUGAGACUAUGGAGAAAACCUAGAAAAAGCUAGAAUGAGCCACUUUGUCACCUGCCUGACUGAAGGAAGAAGGAAAUGUAUAGUAAAACCUGUACACUAUGACAGGGUCAAGAAAAUUACCCAGAGAAAGAAGGAGAUCCCAGUAGUCUUCCUCAAUCGAGUCCCUGAGGCCCUUGGGAAAUGCACCCAUGCAGACCCAGAGGCAGCAGAGGGGAAGCAUCGCGUGCCAUGCAUUUUAUCCUUCAGUCAGCUCCGGACAUUAGAAGGAAAUUACAGAAAAUUUGGAGGCCAGACCCCAGACCCUGCUGUUGACUUUGGCAGAGGCGGCUUUUAAGGUUUUCAAUAACGGACAGGACACAGAUGGCAGGUAAGAAGAGGAGACUGACCAAGACAGCACAGCUUCUGGCUGCCCUAAUUCAUCCACCAUCUCAGGGUGACCCUAGGAUUCUCAGGAGACCAACUAAUCGAAGACAGCCAACCUUGGAUGGAGCCAAUGUGCCUACUGCAGGAUGGAGGGGGUCACUGGAAGAGAGGCUGCCCUGACCUCCUUAAAACAGGACAGCCGGCAGGCAACCCUGGCCAGCCGCCACUCCUCACCAAGCUUUCAGAUGAGAUUGAUACACACCGCCUGACAGCACCCUGGCUCUGACUGCAGCACACUCCAUCGUCAUCACACCACGGAGCCUCAGGUCACCCUUGAUGUGGCAGUUCUAGGAACUGGCCUUAGGAAAUCUAACUAUGAAACCAAGGUUAUGGAGUAUCCCACCUCAGGAAGGAACACUGAACAACUGAUUGACAGUCUUCUUGCCGCCAGCCAGACCACCAAGUGGCCCAUUAACCAAGAGAACCAGCGCAACCAGAUACGCUGACCCGCAUCUCCUACCUCUCAUGUGCUUUGCCCAGCCCAGCCUGCAUACCUUACUCAUGAUGUCAAUUCCCAAGUUUCGCUAAUAAAAACAUCUCUGCAAGCCUCUUCAGGGAGCCAACAAGACAGUCCUUGUGCCUCUGCUGUCUCCCUAGUACUUGAGUACAAGCCCCAAAAACAAAAACCUUGUCUGGGAGAUUUGGUUGGCCUCGUGUUAAUUGUAAUUACAUGGGGAGCC